rnacentral:rRNA from 1 species
AUUUCCCAUUCCGCAAGGAAGUAAGAUCCCUGAAAGAUGAUCAGGUUGAUAGGUCUGAGGUGGAAGUGUGGCGACACAUGGAGCUGACAGAUACUAAUCGAUCGAGGACUUAACCUA